rnacentral:rRNA from 1 species
CAGUAGCCGCGGUAAUACGUAGGUGGCAAGCGUUGUCCGGAAUUAUUGGGCGUAAAGGGCUCGCAGGCGGUUUCUUAAGUCUGAUGUGAAAGCCCCCGGCUCAACCGGGGAGGGUCAUUGGAAACUGGGAAACUUGAGUGCAGAAGAGGAGAGUGGAAUUCCACGUGUAGGGGUGAAAUGCGUAGAGAUGUGGAGGAACACCAGUGGCGAAGGCGACUCUCUGGUCUGUAACUGACGCUGAGGAGCGAAAGCGUGGGGAGCGAACAGGAUCAGAUACCCCAGUAGUCCCUGUCUCUUAUAC